CCUACGGGAGGCAGCAGUAGGGAAUAUUGCUCAAUGGGCGAAACCCUGAACCAGCAACGCCGCGUGGGGGAUGAAGGUUUUCGGAUUGUAAAACCCUUUUGUUAGAGAAGAUAAUGACGGUAUGUAACGAAUAAUCACCGGCUAACUCCGUGCCAGCAGCCGCGGUAAUACGGAGGGUGCAAGCGUUACUCGGAAUCACUGGGCGUAAAGAGCGCGUAGGCGGGAUAGCAAGUCAGAUGUGAAAGCCUCUGGUUUAAACAGAGAAGUGCAUUUGAAACUGGUAUUCUAGAGUAAGGGAGAGGUAGGUGGAAUUCGUGGUGUAGGGGUAAAAUGCGUAGAGAUCAAGAGGAAUACUCAUUGCGAAGGCGACCUGCUGGAACAUAACUGACGCUGAUGCGCGAAAGCGUGGGGAGCAAACAGGAUUAGAUACCCUUGUAGUC
rnacentral:rRNA from 1 species